UACGAAGGGGGCUAGCGUUGUUCGGAUUUACUGGGCGUAAAGCGCACGUAGGCGGUUUGUUAAGUCAGGGGUGAAAGCCUGAGGCUCAACCUCAGAACUGCCUUUGAUACUGGAAGUCUUGAGACCGGAAGAGGUAAGUGGAACUGCGAGUGUAGAGGUGAAAUUCGGUAGAUAUUCGCAAGAACACCAGUGGCGAAGGCGGCUUACUGGUCCGGUUCGUGACGCUGAGGCACGAAAGCGUGGGGAGCAAACAGG
rnacentral:rRNA from 1 species